AGGUUGAAGCUUGGGUAAAACCAGGUGGAGGACCGAACCAGGGUCUGUUGAAAAAGACUUGGAUGACUUGUGGCUAGGGGUGAAAUUCCAAUCGAACCCGGAGAUAGCUGGUUCUCCCCGAAAUAGCUUUAGGGCUAGCGUUGUGAGAAGAGUUAUACGAAGGUAGAGCACUGAAUGGGUGAGGGCCGCACCUCGCGGUACCAAUCUCAAUCAAACUCCGAAUGUCGUAUAAUAUGCGCAGCAGUAAGACUAUGGGUGAUAAGGUCCAUGGUCAAAAGGGAAACAGCCCAGACCGCCAGUUAAGGUCCCAAAAUUAUGCUAAGUGGGAAAGGAGGUGGAGUCGCUUAAACAACUAGGAGGUUGGCUCAGAAGCAGCCAUCCUUUAAAGAGUGCGUAAUAGCUCACUAGUCGAGUGAUUCUGCGCCGAAAAUGUAUCGGGGCUAAGCAUAAUACCGAAGCUGCGGGAUUAGAUGAAGAAUCUAAUCGGUAGGGGAGCGUACUAAGUGCGUAGAAGGUUGACCGGAAGGGCAGCUGGAGCGCUUAGCAGUGAGUAUGCCGGUGUGAGUAGCGAUAAGAUGGGUGAGAAUCCCAUCCGUCGAAAGCCUAAGGUUUCCAGGGGUAAGGCUCGUCCUCCCUGGGUAAGUCGGGUCCUAAGGUGAGGCUGAGAAGCGUAGCUGAUGGACAUCAGGUUGAUAUUCCUGAACCACCAUAAAACUGAAGGAAUGACGGAGGAGGCUAAUCAGAGCUGAUUAAUGGAUUUCAGUUUAAGUACAAAGAGGGUUACGUAGGCAAAUCCGCGUAGCAAAACCUUGAAGUAUGAUGACGUAAGUCUGGUGAAGCCACACUUCCAAGAAAAGUUUCUAGGUGUAUUUUAUGGUGCCCGUACCGUAAACGGACACACGUAGGCGAGGAGAGAAUCCUAAGACGCGCGAGAUAAUUCUUGUUAAGGAACUCGGCAAAAUUACUCUGUAACUUCGGAAUAAAGAGGGCUCCCGUGAGGGAGACGCAGAAAAUAGGCCCAAGCGACUGUUUAACAAAAACAUAGGUUUCUGCUAAAGCGUAAGCUGAUGUAUAGGAGCUGACGCCUGCCCAGUGCUGGAAGGUUAAGAGGAGAAGUUAGUCGCAAGGCGAAGCUUUGAAUUGAAGCCCCAGUAAACGGCGGCCGUAACUAUAACGGUCCUAAGGUAGCGAAAUUCCUUGUCAGGUAAGUUCUGACCCGCACGAAAGGCGUAACGAUUUGGGCGCUGUCUCAACAAGAAACUCGGUGAAAUCAUAGUACCUGUGAAGAUGCAGGUUACCCGCGAUCAGACGGAAAGACCCCAUGGAGCUUCACUGCAACUUAAUAUUGAUAUUGGGUGUGUGAUGUACAGGAUAGGUGGGAGACAAAGAAGCGAGUACGCUAGUAUUCGUGGAGUCAACCUUGGGAUACCACCCCUCGCACAUUUAGUAUCUAACUAGUUUCCAUAAACUGGGAAUAGAACAGUGUUAGGUGGGCAGUUUGACUGGGGCGGUCGCCUCCCAAAGAGUAACGGAGGCGCCCAAAGGUUCCCUCAGAAUGGUUGGAAAUCAUUCAUAGAGUGUAAAGGCAGAAGGGAGCUUGACUGCGAGACGGACAGGUCGAGCAGGAACGAAAGUUGGGCUUAGUGAACCGGCUGUGCUGAAUGGAAAGGCAGUCGAUCAACGGACAAAAGCUACCCUGGGGAUAACAGGCUGAUCUCCCCCAAGAG
rnacentral:rRNA from 1 species